GACGAACGCUGGCGGCGUGCUUAACACAUGCAAGUCGAACGGAAAGGCCCUGCUUUUGUGGGGUGCUCGAGUGGCGAACGGGUGAGUAACACGUGAGUAACCUGCCCUUGACUUUGGGAUAACUUCAGGAAACUGGGGCUAAUACCGGAUAGGAGCUCCUGCUGCAUGGUGGGGGUUGGAAAGUUUCGGCGGUUGGGGUUGGACUCGCGGCUUAUCAGCUUGUUGGUGGGGUAGUGGCUUACCAAGGCUUUGACGGGUAGCCGGCCUGAGAGGGUGACCGGCCACAUUGGGACUGAGAUACGGCCCAGACUCCUACGGGAGGCAGCAGUGGGGAAUAUUGCACAAUGGGCGGAAGCCUGAUGCAGCAAUGCCGCGUGCGGGAUGACGGCCUUCGGGCUGUAAACCGCUUUCGCCUGUGACGAAGCGUGAGUGACGGUAAUGGGUAAAGAAGCACCGGCUAACUACGUG
rnacentral:rRNA from 1 species